AUAUUUAUAUGAGAGUUUGAUCCUGGUUCAGGAUGAACGCUGGCGGCGUGCCUAAUACAUGCAAGUCGAACGAGUUUUGGUCGAUGAACGGUGCUUGCACUGUGAUUCAACUUAAAACGAGUGGCGGACGGGUGAGUAACACGUGGGUAACCUGCCCUUAAGUGGGGGAUAACAUUUGGAAACAGAUGCUAAUACCGCAUAAAUCCAAGAACCGCAUGGUUCUUGGCUGAAAGAUG
rnacentral:rRNA from 1 species